GUACUCCCUUCGGCAGCACACGUAUAAAAUCGGAAUGAUACAGAGGUUAGUGUGGCCCCUGUACAAGGGUGACAUGGAAAUUCGUGAAACAUUCCAAGUUAAU
rnacentral:snRNA from 1 species